GAUGAACGCUGGCGGCGUGCUUAACACAUGCAAGUCGAACGGAAAGGCCCAAGCUUGCUUGGGUACUCGAGUGGCGAACGGGUGAGUAACACGUGGGUGAUCUGCCCUGCACUUCGGGAUAAGCCUGGGAAACUGGGUCUAAUACUGGAUAGGACGAUGGUUUGGAUGCCAUUGUGGAAAGUUUUUUCGGUGUGGGAUGAGCUCGCGGCCUAUCAGCUUGUUGGUGGGGUAAUGGCCUACCAAGGCGUCGACGGGUAGCCGGCCUGAGAGGGUGUACGGCCACAUUGGGACUGAGAUACGGCCCAGACUCCUACGGGAGGCAGCAGUGGGGAAUAUUGCACAAUGGGCGCAAGCCUGAUGCAGCGACGCCGCGUGGGGGAUGACGGCCUUCGGGUUGUAAACUCCUUUCGCUAGGGACGAAGCGUUUUUGUGACGGUACCUGGAGAAGAAGCACCGGCUAACUACGUG
rnacentral:rRNA from 1 species